ACUCUUAACGAUCGAUUGUGAAUUGAAACAACAUUUCAAUUCUCCCUUUGAUUAGUGUUUGCUAAUCUUCAAGGCUUCCACAAAUCAUGAGUGACACCUAGCAGCAUAUCAUGGUUACCCAAGCUAAGGAGAAGUGGUUGGAGAACCUAUCCAGUUACAACUACAAUGCAAUACGGUCCUUCUCUAAUACAAUACUCUUAAUCACAUUGUUUGAGUGAUAGUUUGUUUUAUGUCUACUAUCCAAUGUGAUACUUCUCCAUAUGAUUCUGUUAAAUAUGAUUUGGAACAAACUUCCUAAGUCAUAUUCAUAUGCUUUGGCCAAAGACUCUCGAAUCAUAUCUUAGAAUAUUCUCCUUCCACCAUGGAAGGUUAGAGAUCCCUUGUUGUGCAUUCAUAUGCCUACAUGACUAGAUAGCUUGAUCCCAACAAUGCCGUGGACACUCCAAUGGAAUGCCAUUUAACAUGAUCAAAGAUCAAGGACCUAACCAUUAGACAUCUAUGAUGCCUCAGGUCAAAUGACUACUUUGCAUAUUGCAACUAUCGAGUUCUUACAUGACAUGUAUGUUUGAACUCUCUUUUGAUCGUUGUCAGUGUACUCGAUUACUCUUUCGAGCACUUAUGUGUUUGUCUUAGUGUCCAACACUAAAUGACUUGAGACUUGUCAUACUCGCGCUUGAGUCGACAUAACACAUACUAACCUUAGGGAUUGUCAAUGCCCAAUUGGCAAUCCUAUGGCUAGGAACGUUUUUAGGAAUAAAGAUAAGAGAAAGGUCUCGUUAAUCUAACUUACUUAAAUCACUUAUCUCUUAGAUCAAAUACAUUUCCUUGGAUUCCCUUAUUGCUUAAACACAAGAUACAAUAAAUAGUGAUUAACAAUAAGCUUGCCCUUCAUUAAACAUAUAAAAAGUUUAAUACAAUAAGUAUUCCAAAAGCUAUUACAUCAAAUGAGUUGCUUUGUGGCAUACUUCCAACAAUCUCCCACUUGCACUCAAAGCAUCCUCCCAUGUAUCUAAUACCCAUCUUUCCAUAUGGCGGUCAAGUUGGAUUUGAGACAUUGCUUUCGUCAGUGGAUCUGCUACGUUAUCUGCUGAGGCAACUUUGAGGAUGUUGACUUUCCCCUCGGCAGCAUAUCUUCUAAUGAUAUUAAAGCGCCUGCCAAAAUGCUUGUUCUUUUGAUGAGCAUUGGGUUCCUUGGCUUGAGCUAUCGCCCCACUAUUAUCACAGUACAAAGUUACUGGUGAUGUAAUGGUUGGAACCACUCCAAGUUCAGUAAUGAACUUCUUCAUCCAGAACGCUUCUUUGCCGGCUUCAGCUGCAGUGACAUAUUCUGCCUCCGUCGUGGAAUCAGCAAUUACACUUUGUUUCUUGCUUUUCCAGCUAACAGCCCCACCAUUCAGAGUGAAUACAUAUCCGGAGUUGGAACUUCUAUCAUCGAUGUCAGAUUGGAAAUCUGCAUCUGUAUAGGCUUCCACUCGCAACUCUGUCGCUCCUCUAUAAACGAGGAACAUGUCCUUAGUUCUUCUUAAGUACUUAAGGACCGUUUUGACAGUUGCCCAAUGUUCUGAUCCUGGGUUAGAUUGAUAUCGACUAGUUAUGCUCACAGCAUACGCAAUAUCUGGCCUUGUGCAUAUCAUGGCAUACAUGAGACUCCUUAUGGCGGAAGCAGAAGGAAUAGCAUUCAUUUGACGUAUCUUUUCAGGAGUCUUAGGUCCCAUGGACUUAGAAAGGUGAAUUCCAUGUCUAACAGGAAGAAAACCUUUCUUAGAUUGUUCCAUCUGGAACCUACUUAGCACUUAUCAAUGUACAUAGAUGGGAUAAUCCAAUUAGUCUCUGAUCUAUCACGAUAGAGCUUUAUCCAAGUACAUAGAUGCAUCUCCUAAAUCUUCAUGUGAGGUUUUGGACAACCACACUUUUACAGAAGAAAGUCUGCAAUGUUUCCAUGAAUAGUAAUAUGUCAUCUACAUACAACACUAGGAAAACAAACUGCAUCCCUACGACUUGAUAAACACAAUGUCGUCUUCGGGUAAAACCAAAGAUUUGAUUCAGUAUAAAAGAAUGUUACAGCUCCUUGAGGCUUGCUUAAGUCCAUAAAUGGACCUCGAAGCUUGCAUACCUUAGUCUUUUCAACUUGGACACAAACCUUGGUUGAGCAUAAACCUUCUCUAGGUAGCCAUUCAAAAGGCCGUCUUCACGUCCAUUGCCAGAUUUCAUAAUCUGGUACGCAGUUAUAGCAAGCAAAAUCCGAAUGGACUUAAUCAUGGCUACAGGAGAAAAGGUUUCUUCAUAGUCAAUCCUUCUCUUUGCCUGUAACCUUAGCUACUAGUCUAGCCUUAUAAGUCUCCACGUUCCCAUCAAACGCCUAUAUUCCUCUUGAAGACCCAUUUGUUUCCAACAGGUACUAUACCUUCUGGAGGGUUACAAGAGUCCAGACCUGAUUUUGAUACAUGGAAUCCAUCUCGGAUUCAUGCUUCUUGCCAUCUCUUUGGAAUCAAUGUCGAACAUUUACUUCAGUGUAGUCCCUAGGUCUCCUUUGUGUCAUUGUCACUAGAAGGUGCAAUUCCGCAAAGUCAUUGUCUAAGCCAUACCUCUUAGGUGGCUUACUAACCCUUUCAGAUCUACGUGGAUGUUAGGGUUCAGGAACAGGUUGUCAACCUGUUGAGUGCUUGUUUGUGGUUCAUCAUUAAUCUCCUUAAUUUCCUUCAAUUCUUAUCGUUUUCUCGCUACUUCCAUUGAGAACGAAUUCGUCCUCAAGGAACAUAGCAGUUCUGGCGACAAAGACUUUCUUGUCGUCAGGUUAUAGAAUUCGUAUCCCAAAGUCUGUUUGGAAACCCCACAAAGUAGCACUUAACAGAUCUUGCUUCAAGCGCUUCAAGCCUUUAACGUAAGCCGGACAACCCAAAUCCUAAUAUGAUUAAGAUUGUGCUUUGCAUGCCAUACUCAUUGGCGUUUGUGAAAACUGACUUGGAAGGUACUCUAUUAAGCAAGCUGCUGUAUAUAGAGUGUAUCCCUAGAAUGUUACUGGUUAGAUUGGUAGAACUCAUCUAGAACGAACCAUGUUCAUCAAGGUUCGAUUUCUCGUUCAGAGUUAUGCUGAGGAGUUCCUGGUGGAGCCCACUGUGAUACUAUUCCACACUCUUUGAGAUAAUCUAGGAACUCGUUACUCAGAUAUUCACCCCUCGAUCCGAUUUUAGGGUCUUUAUCUGUUCCAGUUUGCUUCAACUUCAUUCUUGAAUUCUUUGAACCUUUUCAAAGGAUUCUGACUGUACUUCAUAAGAUACACAUAGCCAAACCGGAGGAUCGUCGGUGAAUGUGAUAUAGUAGGAGAAGCCUCCUCUCGACUAGUAGACAUAGGUCCACAUACGUCAGUGUGGAUUAACCCUAGAAUUUCAGUGGCACGCCUCCUUUCCAGUGAAUGGAGAUUGGUCAUUUUCCCUUUCAAGCAACAUUCACAAGUACCCAUCUGGUCAUUACCUAAUGGGCGGAUAUAUCCGUCUUUCGACAUCUGCGAAUCUUAUCAAGGUUCCACAUGUCCAAGUUUAAGAUGCCACAUUCUUUUCUUGGUUAACUUCUUCUCUAGCCCUUUUGGUUUUGAGGUAUUUCCCGCUUUCAAUACAGUGCUCCACUAUUCGUCUUCUAGGUGAAAAGCCUCUAUCAUAUUACGAUGAGAGAUAAACGACCGUUUUAAAGUGGCAACUUCAUUUUGUCAAACAAUACUGAGUGCCCAUCUGUUAAAAGCUUAGAGAUAGAAAUCAAAUUCUUUAUACAUGAAGGAAAAUAUAAACAAUUUAAAGUUCCAGACUUCCCUUAGUUAAGCAUGUAGGUGCCAUUGCUUUGCAGAGAUUUUAGUGCCGUUCCCAACUCGCACAACAUCUCCCCAUUGCGCAGUGACCUGCUCCCUGCUAGUCGCAACGUAUGCAGAUAUGUGACUAGGCCUGAAUCAAAUAUCCAGGAAUUGGAAGCUCACUGUAAAGCACUCUCUAUGCACUUAGUCCUUCAAAAGUUCAUAAGGCUCGGUUUUUUCUUUUCCAACGUUCCUUUCCACAAUGAAAGCAUUUCCUUUGGAUUUCUUUGCCUUCUUCUUAUGCACCUUUUCCUUGUGUUUGCAUUCUCACUCCCACUGGUUCAUUUUGAAACCUUUUUCAAAUUUACAGCACAUGUCAAUCAUUCGUUUAAGAAUGAUAAUCUAUUCACUUUAUAGUUUACAAUAAACUUAGUGAAAAUCAUCCGAGAGAAGAUGCAAGGAAAAAGUCUUGGGCCAUUUUCCCAUCGAUGGAAGUUCCUAACUUUCAAGAUCUUGAAAGAUCCUUUCCAUCUUUUGUCCAUGUUUAUGGACUGAUGUCCCCUUUGCCAUUUUGGCAUUCAUUAGGACUACAAAAUUUGAGAAUCGUACAUUACUAAUCUCAAUGUCAUGCAUCUUAUGCAAACUUUCAACCAUGGGCACAAGGAAGUGUCUAUGUGCUUAUGUAGCUUCAUAAGCUCCUCACUAAGUGAAGUGAGGAUUAAGCAUUUGGCUUGUAAGUCAUCCUCAUAGUGUCUAACAUAAUUUUGACACUCCUCCUUUGAAGCUAGUUUCGUAGGAGGUACAUGAGGAGGGGAUUGCUUAAGCACAUACAAUAUGUCUUUCACCUUUGAGACAUUCUCAAUAUGGCGAUACCAAGCAAGGAAACGUUGGCCCCUAAGGCCCCUUUUGUCAAGUAUAAUGGUGGGUAUUAUUUUUAGGCAUGUCGUUAACUUACAUAAUAACAAAAAUCGUAUUGAUUGUUUGUUUUAAAACUACUUGAUUGGGUCUUAAAUCAAAUAGUACCACCCACUAUUUUUGGCAAAUUCCACAUCCCUCAAUGGAAUUCGAGAGUUAUAUUGAACUCUGAGCGGGGUAUGGGAGACUCACCAUUACCAAGCCCACCUCAGAAGAAUAUCAUAUUGGCUAGCAACAAUAAUGAUGAGAGGAUAACGCUUUAGCCAUUUACAACUUUUGUAAUACCCAUCUAGUUUGGCCUCUAGAAUGAUGUCUCAGAAGAAUAUCAUAUGGCACCAUUGCACUUAGUUAAGUCAUUCCCACCAUGCUAGUUCAAGUAGGCGUUCAAGAAUGGCCUCAGAAGAAUAUCAUAUUGGCCAUACUCGUUGCCUACUUUCACUUCAUCAUAUGUUUAUGGGCUUCUCCUGAAUGAAGCACAUACUUUGCAUACCCAGAACUGGACGAAUACGGUGUAUGAGUCACAAACGAUUGAAGCCCACCACGUGUGAAGGCCUACGAAGAGAUGUUCAAAACAUCUCUCGCUUAUCAAACUUAAUAUUCGUUUUGUUUGAGGGAGUAGUGUUGGGCUUACAUCAAAAUCAUUUUUAAUCUUAUUAAAAAGAACUUGGCCUAUCACAACUAUUGGUCCAAGUUAAUAUGAAUUAGUAGCAUAUAAUACUCCCAUUGUUUCGUUGAAACAAGCGAGACUAUAUGGAACUACUAACGAACGCAUUGCAUCCUCAUAUGGACUAAAAGUCAUAUUAGGUUUUAGGAUGAUUAUGAACCGUUUGAUUUGAUCCAAACACGAGCCUUGUGUUGGACCUUGGGUUUAAGGUAGAUAGUUGUUGAUUUUAGUUACGCGUUUAAUCCAAUUAAACCGUUAUUUCCUAUUGGGCCGUUGGACCCAACUAUUCCAAUUUGCAUACAAUUAAAAAUAGGAAUACAUGAAAUAAUAAGAAGGGCUUAUGCCCUUUUACAACACAAAUGAUGGACUUAUGUCCAUUUACAACAAAUUGAAUUAAUCAAAUUACAUUCAAAUCUACACUACCAAACCCAAACAUUCAUAAUGUAAAGCGGCCAAUCACAUAGCUCAAUUAUCGAGGCCUUUGGUUCAUAAUCACCCUUUUCUUAAUCAAUCACAUUAACUAAGAAACAACUUUAAACAAUUGGUUUUUGGAUCCAUAAAUUGAUUUAAAUGGAACUAAAUGAAAUGAAAAUCCAAUUCUCAUUAAAGAGACAAAACCAUUUUGUUCUCAUUUUAUUUGGUUCAUAAUCACCCUUUUCUUAAUCAAUCACAUUAACUAAGAAAACAACUUUAAACAAUUGGUUUUUGUAUCCAUAGAAUUGAUUUAAAUGAACUAAAUGAAAUGAAAAUCCAAUUCUCAUUAAAGAGACAAAACCAUUUGUUCUCAUUUUAUUUGGGCCAAAAGGAAACUAUGACCACAACAAUUGGGCCACAAUGCAAAACACAAACUUUGGGGUCACUUUGAAAAAAACACAAAAGUCCACAACUUCAUGUAAUUUCAACUAGAACCCAAAAUUUUAAUAAUGUAAAAACAUCAUUAAAGGAUCAAAACAAUUUGUCCUUUAGAGUUUUUGGGCCUUAACGUAAAAACGUAAACUUUUGGGCCAAAGUGCAAAUACACAAAAUAUUCAAAACUUUAUGUAAUUGCAUAAAAAGGCCCCAAAAGUACCCCCACUAGGGGUUGGCCGGUUUUAGAGUAGUAAAGGAGUGUGAAAGGGUUUUAUGCAAGUGGUGCAUGCAUGUGCAAUAUGCAAGUGGAAUAGGUAGGUGAGGAAAAAGGGUGAUUGGUGUAAGUUGUAAGAAAAUGUUUUGUGAAACAUUAAAGGCUUUAAUCACCCAUCACCAAUCAUCCAUCACCUUUUCAAAAUAAACUAAAACUUUAUUAAAAACACCAAACACUUUGAAUCAAAAUUCCAAACCUUUUUGUUCUUGGUAAGAAACUCAAGAACAUUGAAGAACACACAUGAAAACUCAUAAGAGCUCCAUGAAUGUUUUCACUCAAUAAAACUCAAAUUUUUACAACUCAAAAGAGGGCUAACAUCCUAGGGUACUUAGGGGUUCCAAAAGUCACCUUAAAACCAUUUUAACAAGACAAACAAGAACCCAAAAAAUCACUCUUUGGAUUUGGCCGAAUUUCCCAACAUACAUGGCACCAAAUUUUAGUUCCAAUAUUCAUGCUUAAAUGAAAUACAUCUACAACAUUUGAGAUGCUAAAUUUUCAAGCAAAAUUUAUAUUCAAAGCAAGAACAAAGCUUGUAACAUUUACAACAUUUAAAUCACAAAUCAUGAAAAUCACAAAACCCAAAAGGAUUCACCAUAAACUAGGCCUAGGCUCUGAUACCACUUGAAGGAAAAAUUUUGUCCUAGCUAAGAACAAGUAAGAACAUUUGAAUACAUAUGCAAACUAUUAACAUAUUAAAGUAGGCAUUCAUUCAAAAACAAUUCAUAAAACCCAUGACUUUCAAAGCCUAGUAUAUGGUGAACCAAUAAACUCUUUAACAUCAUUUAAAGAGAAGGUAAGAUUAGAGUUCUUUAGGUUUCUUUACCCUUGAAGCUCAUCCUUGAUUACACAAGGGAUUCACCCCAAGUGGAGGGCCUUCAAGUCACCUCCUUGCUCCUUGGAUCUUCCUUGUGAUUUUCCUCCUUUUAGUGCUCCUUUGCUUCUUUGAGGAUUUGAGGAUUAGUUCUCUAAAACAUCAAAAGCUUGAUGUCUCUAAGUCUCCACACCAAGAAUGAAGUGUGAAGAUGAAAUGGAUGACUUAGAGAAGAAAAGAUUGCUAGCUAAAUCCCCUCUAAGUGGCCGGCCUCUUUAGAGAAAAUGAGAGAAAGUGUUUCACCUCAUUUCACCAAGAAAAACCCUAAUGAGAAAUAAAGCUAUAAAGUUGAUUUUAUACUUCAUUUCAAGUGAGUGGCAAACUUGUAAUUAAUCCAAGUUUGCAACCCUCACCCUUAUGGCCGGCCUUACCUUUGUUAUUGGGCUAAUUGCCCAUUUUGUUUUAGUUGUCAUACAACUUAAACAUAAUGGGCCUUGUGGACUAAAACGCUUUUGAGCCCCGAAGCCCAAAACCAACUUAAAAGCCUAAUACGAACCUUUCGUAAAAUUAAUUAAUUAAUUAAUUAAUCUUGACCAUUCUCAAUUAAACCAUUUAAUUGCUUAUCCAUCUCAUUUAUAUUUCUUCACUUUCACCCUUACUCGGUGUACGAUCCAUUAGGUUCCAAUUAGCGAGGCAGUGGGCGAUUGUUACUCUUAACGAUCGAUUGUGAAUUGAAACAACAUUUCAAUUCUCCCUUUGAUUAGUGUUUGCUAAUCUUCAAGGCUUCCACAAAUCAUGAGUGACACCUAGUAGCAUAUCAUGGUUACCCAAGCUAAGGAGAAGUGGUUGGAGAACCUAUCCAGUUACAACUACAAUGCAAUACGGUCAUUCUCUAAUACAAUACUCUUAAUCACAUUGUUUGAGUGAUAGUUUGUUUCAUGUCUACUAUCCAAUGUGAUACUUCUCCAUAUGAUUCUGUUGAAUAUGAUUUGGAACAAACUUCCUAAGUCAUAUUCAUAUGCUUUUGGCCAAAGACUCUCGAAUCAUAUCUUAGAAUAUUCUCCUUCCACCAUGGAAGGUUAGAGAUCCCUUGUUGUGCAUUCAUAUGCCUACAUGACUAGAUAGCUUGAUCCCAACAAUGCCGUGGACACUCCAAUGGAAUGCCAUUUAACAUGAUCGAAGAUCAAGGACCUAACCAUUAGACAUCUAUGAUGCCUCAGGUCAAAGGACUA
rnacentral:lncRNA from 1 species